rnacentral:rRNA from 1 species
AACGUGGGUAACCUGCCUUAUAGUGGGGGAUAGCCUUUCGAAAGGAAGAUUAAUACCGCAUAAGAUUGUAGUAUCGCAUGAUAUAGCAAUUAAAGGAGCAAUUCGCUAUAAGAUGGACCCGCGUCGCAUUAGCUAGUUGGUGAGGUAAUGGCUCACCAAGGCGACGAUGCGUAGCCGACCUGAGAGGGUGAUCGGCCACAUUGGGACUGAGACACGGCCCAGACUCCUACGGGAGGCAGCCAUG